UACGUAGGGGGCAAGCGUUGUCCGGAUUUAUUGGGCGUAAAGAGCGUGUAGGCGGUUCGGUAGGUCCGUUGUGAAAACUCGAGGCUCAACCUCGAGACGCCGAUGGAAACCAUCUGACUAGAGUCCGGAAGAGGAGAGUGGAAUUCCUGGUGUAGCGGUGAAAUGCGCAGAUAUCAGGAAGAACACCCGUGGCUAAGGCGGCUCUCUAGUACGUGACUGACGCUGAGACACGAAAGCGUGGGGAGCGAACAGG
rnacentral:rRNA from 1 species